ensembl:lncRNA
GCAUUUCCCUCCCUCGAAGUCGGGGCUGAAACCGGGAGAUAAAGGGAAGCGGCGGUGAGCGCUGAGCGGCCCGGGAUAGGCGGGGUGGGAGGGGGGGGGCGGUGAGGGGGAAAGCAGAGCCCCGGCUCCGGCCGCAGCCCGGGGAGGGGGGGACACGGAGAGCUCCGGGGACAGCAGCCGCAGUCUGCGGGGAGAGAUAAGGGCCGGGCCCGAGAAACCGUGACAAUGAAAUAUCGAGAAGAGGGGAUCGCUUGGAAGCAGCCGCAGCUCCGCCGGAUCGCUCAGAGAGGGGCGGGGGGACAGAGAGCGCACCUGGCAGCGGGACGCGCGUUUGUCGGUGCGAUGCUGAGGGGCGAAACGAACGGAAUUCACUCACAGCCCCUGAAAGUUUUGCGUCGGGUCGUCGGGUUGUUUUCUUUUCUUUUCUUUUCUUUCUUUCUUUUUUCUUUUUCUUUUCUUUUCUUUUUUUUUUUCUUUCCCCCCUCGCUUUUCAGGCAGCCGGGAGUUACUUUCCGCGUCGCCGUCUCUUCGGUUUACGUAUUUUCAGCGCACCGCAAAGUUUCCAGCGGUGAAAUCCCCGCACUCCCCCGCAGCCGUUCGGCUCUGGGGACGCCGGGACCCGCCCGGAGCAGCCGCACAGCCCCGCCACGGGCGGCCCCUCCGCCGCUCCCCGCGGUGUCCCCGCGAUGUCCCUACGGCGGUACCGGCACGGGGCACCCGCAGCCCGGAGGAAACCACGCCGGGACCCAAAGCCGCUCGGAAGACGGUUGUUUGUUGCUUUACUUUUUGUUUGUUGGGGGUUUUGUUGUUGUUGUUGUUUCUUUUUUCUUUCCCCCGGCGGUAUUGCAGCCUUUUUCUGACUGUCUGAAGGGUUUCUUUUUUUGUCUUUUUUUCCCUUUUUUUCCUUUUUUUUUUCUUUUUCUUUUCUCAUUUUUUUUCCGGUUAAUCGCUUUUGACCUCCCGCUAAAAGGUAUCCGUCGCUUUUCUUUGCGCGUUAAACGACCCCCCGUGCGCCGGGGCAAAUCGAAGUCUCGGGACACGCAGCGCGCUCGGCAUUCGCGUUCGGUAUUUUUAACGACGGCACUGAAAAUCGCCGCAUUUUAAUCGUGCCAAAAUGGGGGGAUAACGCGGCCAUCGGCAACCUCAGCUCACACCAAACCUAC